rnacentral:lncRNA from 1 species
AGUGAUAAACCAAUAUAUAAAUCAGGAAGUAGAUUAUCAAUGUGUUUGCCGAACUCAUGGUGUUAUAAUUUCGUGUUUUCCCAAAUGUUUUAAAAUGUCAACACAUACAAAAUAUGUUAAAUCCUUUUGCAUAGGUCAGCAGUUUUCCAUGUUGACUGACAUGUGCCAUUUUCUGUAUUAGCUCCACGUGUACGCAUUGAUCUUUUCCUUCACAUCUUUUUGACAUGGACGAUGUUUUUCUGUAAAAACCAUUUAAGAUUAUUUCUUUUGAAUAGCCUUGAACAUUAUAUUAAAAAAAAAGUAUGACACGAUGGAGGUAUCGAUUGAUUGUUUUGAGAAAAAAAAUCUUUCCAGAGUACUCGUGUUGACCUACUGUUAACUGAAAUAUGAUUUAAUUCAAUGCUUUCUUUGUUUGAAUCAGCC